rnacentral:rRNA from 1 species
UAGGGAAUCUUCGGCAAUGGGGGCAAUCCUGACCGAGCAACGCCGCGUGAGUGAAGAAGGUCUUCGGAUCGUAAAGCUCUGUUGUAAGAGAAGAACGUGUGUGAUAGUGGAAAGUUCACACAGUGACGGUAACUUACCAGAAAGGGACGGCUAACUACGUGCCAGCAGCCGCGGUAAUACGUAGGUCCCGAGCGUUGUCCGGAUUUAUUGGGCGUAAAUCGAGCGACGGCGGUUUAAUAAGUCUGAAGUUAAAGGCAGUGGCUUAACCAUUGUUCGCUUUGGAAACUGUUAAACUUGAGUGCAGAAGGGGAGAGUGGAAUUCCAUGUGUAGCGGUGAAAUGCGUAGAUAUAUGGAGGAACACCGGUGGCGAAAGCGGCUCUCUGGUCUGUAACUGACGCUGAGGCUCGAAAGCGUGGGGAGCAAACAGG